GACGAACGUUGGCGGCGUGCUUAAUACAUGCAAGUCAACUGAAGCAGUGGUAGCAAUCUCGCUGUGGAGGUGGCGCACGGGUGAGUAACACGUAGGUAAUCUGCCUUCAGGUCUGGCAUAACUCCGGGAAACCGGGGCUAAUAGCAGAUGAUGCAGCGGCUCGACAUCGAGACAGUUGUUAAAGCUAUGGCGCCUGAAGAUGAGCCUGCGCCUGAUUAGCUAGUUGGCGGGGUAACGGCCCACCAAGGCAACGAUCAGUAGCUGGUCUGAGAGGAUGAUCAGCCACACUGGAACUGAGACACGGUCCAGACUCCUACGGGAGGCAGCAGUAAGGAAUAUUGCUCAAUGGGAGAAAUCCUGAAGCAGCAACGCCGCGUGAGGGACGAAGGGCUUUUGCUUGUAAACCUCUGUAGUGAGAGAAAAAAAUCCCAAUCUUUGGGACAUGAUGGUAUCUCAAAAGUAAGCCCCGGCUAACUACGUG
rnacentral:rRNA from 1 species